rnacentral:miRNA from 1 species
GCCAUGUGUGGCGUGGAUAGCAUUUUAUGUUAUUGGUAGACUUCUUUAUUUUCUAACUUUUGAAAUAAUAUAUAUAUAUAUAUAUAUAUAUAUAUAUAAUUUCAAAAGAUAGAAAAUAAAGAAGUCUACCAAUAACAUAAAAUGCUAUCCGUGCCACACAUGGC